UAUUCUUAGGUAUAUAUAAUUGAAUGCUUGAAAGUUUGAUUAAAAGCUCUCUAAGAUUCAAUCUAUAGAUUCAGUUGAAUCCAGCUUAACAAAGUCAAUCGAAAAGAUGUCCAGCAUUAUUUCUCACUUAGUAUACGUUAUGUUGGUUCUUUGUGCUCUCGCUUGUGCUGCAUUGCCCUGCGUAGUUUGUGCAGGAAGCGGUGGAAGCCAGGGCAACAAAAGAGUCAGUUUUGGAUUGCUUUCACUACCAAUUCUAAGUCAAAUCAAACAAGGAUGAUUGAUUAUGAGCUUUUGUUAUGAAAUGGAUUAAAUGGAUUAUGAAAUGGAAAUGGAUUAAAAGAAAAUAAAAGCGAUAAUUUAAAAUUUC